GCAGUGGGGUUUUUCCAGCCUACCUUGUGCAGCUGCGGUUCUCGGCAUCCGCGGGCGGUGGCCUGCAGGCGGUCGGCCAGUGAGUCCAGCCCACGGCGCGGGGCCCUCCGGCUGCCAAGAAGGAAAUGCAGAUGAGGGGCCUUUACAACAACCAAACGGACAGGCAUUCCAGCGCCACGGGAAUUUUCAGUAACUGUCUCAAGAGAGAGGUCUGUGCCACGUGGUCCCUCCAAUCCCAGGAAAUCGGUGUCUAGUCCAACUUCUUCCAACACUCCCACUCCUACCAAACACCUGAGGACCCCUUCCACAAAGCCCAAGCAAGAGAAUGAAGGUGGAGAAAAGGCUGUGCUUGAGUCCCAAGUUCGGGAACUUUUGGCAGAAGCCAAAGCAAAAGAUAGUGAAAUUAACAGGCUUCGAAGUGAACUAAAGAAAUGCAAAGAGAAAAGGACUCUGAACGCUGA
rnacentral:sRNA from 1 species